ensembl:misc_RNA Metazoa_SRP Metazoan signal recognition particle RNA
GCUGAGCAUGGUGGCGCAUGCCUGUAGUCCCAGCUACUUGGGAGGCUGAGGCAGGAGGAUCAUUUGAGCCCAGGAGUUUGAGGCUGCAGUGAGCUAUGAUUGUACCACUGCAAUGCAGCCUGGGCAACAGAGCAAGAUCCUGUCUCAA